AAUAUAGCGCCUGAGCUUGUACGGGAAAAACGGGCUGUUCGCCGCCUUUGUGCAAGCUGACGAGGAAAGAGGAUUAUCGAAAAAAAUCGGCGGGUGCCUCUUCGGUAUGGACAGCCGUGUUCGUAUCGUCAGGCCAUAUACAAAUUGACGGGAGACCGUCCGACAAAAAU
rnacentral:ncRNA from 1 species